rnacentral:rRNA from 1 species
AUUGAACGCUGGCGGCAGGCCUAACACAUGCAAGUCGAGCGAGCGGCGGACGGGUGAGAAAUGUCUGGGAAACCGCCUGAUGGGGGGGGCUAACUACUGGAAACGGCAGCUAAUACCGCAUACCAUCGGAUGUGCCCAGAUGGGAUUAGCUAGUAGGUGGGGUAACGUCUCACCUAGGCGACGAUCCCGAGCUGGUCUGAGAGGAUGACCAGACAGACUGGACCUGAGACACGGUCCAGACUCCUACGGGAGGCAGCAGUGGGGAAUAUUGCACAAUGGGCGCAAGCCUGAUGCAGCCAUGCCGCGUGUAUGAAGAAGGCCUUCGGGUUGUAAAGUACUUUCAGCGGGGAGGCGUUACCCGCAGAAGAAGCACCGGCUAACUCCGUGCCAGCAGCCGCGGUAAUUC